UACGGAGUGUGCAAACGUUAAUCGGAAUUACUGGGCGUAAAGCGCACGUAGGCGGCUCGUUAGGUGGGGUGUGAAAGCACUGGGCUCAACCUGGGAAUUGCAUUCCAAACUGACGGGCUAGAGUGUGGUAGAGGGGGGUAGAAGUCCCUGUGUAGCGGUGAAAUGCGUAGAUAUAGGGAGGAAUACUUGUGGCGAAGGUGGCCCCCUGGACCAACACUGACGCUGAGGUGCGAAAGCGUGGGGAGCAAACAGG
rnacentral:rRNA from 1 species